rnacentral:rRNA from 1 species
AGCAGCAGCCAUAGCACCCUGCAACUCACACCUGGCUACCCACUGAAGCUAAGCAGGUGUGAGCCUGGUGAGUACCUGGAUGGGAGACCUCCUGGGAAAAACUAAGGCUGCUGCUG